AUUUAUUUGCUUUUUCAGAAUCACUCUAGGAUUCUGGAUGGAGUAGGUCCCUGUGGUUUUGCUGUCAAUCCUUCAGCCUCCAUCAUAGUUUUUACAGACUAUGUAAAACUCAUCAUUUUUUUACUUUCCUUCUUAUGCAGCUGAUAUUCCAUGGUUCAGCACUUUACAAUGAACUUUAAAAAGAAAAAUCUCACCAUUUCUGAGGGUCAAGAAUCUGGGAGAAACUCACCUUGGUAGUUGUGGCUUAGGAUACCUGGUGAAGUAGCAGUGAAGAUGUUGGCUGGGGCUGUAGUCAUCAAAAGGCCUGGGGAUGCACUCCAAGGCUCACAGGAAUGGCUGUUGGCCAAAGGCUACAGUUCCUUGCCAUGUGGGCCUCUCUAGGCCAGCUGGUUUUGUAUAGAACAAGUGAUAAGAGAGAGAAACAUACGGAGAGAAAGAGGUGUAAAGGCAGAGGCCUCAAGCUUUUAAACCUCUGUCUUACUCUGUUGGUUACACAGACCAACCCUGGUAUGAUGCAGGAUGGGACUACACAAGGGUGUGAAUACCAGGAGGCAGGGACCAUUAGGGACCAUCUUGGAGGCUGACC
rnacentral:lncRNA from 1 species